UAAUACGGAUGGUGCAAGCGUUAAUCGGAAUUACUGGGCGUAAAGCGCACGCAGGCGGUUUGUUAAGUCAGAUGUGAAAUCCCCGAGCUUAACUUGGGAACUGCAUUUGAAACUGGCAAGCUAGAGUCUUGUAGAGGGGGGUAGAAUUCCAGGUGUAGCGGUGAAAUGCGUAGAGAUCUGGAGGAAUACCGGUGGCGAAGGCGGCCCCCUGGACAAAGACUGACGCUCAGGUGCGAAAGCGUGGGGAGCAAACAGGAUUAGAUACCCUGGUAGUCCACGCUGUAAACGAUGUCGACUUGGAGGUUGUGCCCUUGAGGCGUGGCUUCCGGAGCUAACGCGUUAAGUCGACCGCCUGGGGAGUACGGCCGCAAGGUUAAA
rnacentral:rRNA from 1 species